rnacentral:rRNA from 1 species
UACGUAGGUGGCAAGCGUUGUCCGGAUUUAUUGGGUUUAAAGGGUGCGUAGGCGGCUUUGUAAGUCAGUGGUGAAAUAUGGCAGCUCAACUGUCAAGGUGCCAUUGAUACUGCAGAGCUUGAGUACAGAUGAGGUAGGCGGAAUUGACGGUGUAGCGGUGAAAUGCUUAGAUAUCGUCAAGAACACCUAUAGCGAAGGCAGCUUACUAGGCUGUAGCUGACGCUGAGGCACGAAAGUGUGGGGAUCAAACAGG